CUUCCCACUGAUGCAAGAACAGCCUGCUGGCUGCUGUGUGUCUGCUUUGAGAGCCAUGGCUCAGAGAUGGAAGAGAGUCCAGGGGUGGAGAAGAGCAGACAAGAACUUAAAAGCUAGACCUCAUUGCUGAAGAUGCCAUGUGCAUUUGACCCAAGAUUCCAAGGAAUAGAUCUGGAACUGACCUGGAAGCCACCUCCCUGAGGGGUAGCUGAAGACUCUACACAAGCUGCCAGGAAAGGAAGCCAGUCAACUGUCAAGCCAGCUGUGAAGCCCACAGACCACCCCAAUGACCAGCACGGCGAGAGAGCCCCAAGGGUGUAGUAGUGACUCCUGUGUCUUGAGGGCAACCAACAGCCAUCUAAAUUGGACCUUAGGCAAAUUCAACAGGAGAGAACUGCUGUCUGGUACAUGAAACCUAAUCAGCUACCAACUACCCGUGGCUGGUGAAGCCGUCGAUCCUAAAAGAGGACUUAGCAUGCCACUUCCCCAAGUCAGCACAGCUCCUAACAGCAUCCUAAAUACUUCUCCUUAUGCUCGCAGUAAAUGAGCUCUUGCUUCUUCUUGCAGCAGAUGGAAACCAUCUCAGAAAUCUAUGGCCAAUCAAAAUGAAGUGGGCAACUGUCCGUGGGGUGCCCAGCCCCAAGUCACCCCUCUACAGUACUCCUCCUACACACACGGCUCCAAGAACAGCACAGGAGAGAAGACAGAAAGACUUCAAGAGUCAGAGCAGAAAAACUACACCCAUAAAAUCCCAUAAAUUUGGUCAUGUAAACAGGGCUGGUCCAAUGACAAUGUGGGUGGGGGUCAAUCUCACAAGGCCCUACCACUCGAUAAAGAGCUGGGGCGAUCAAUGGCGGCUGAGAGAAGAUCAGCUUCUGCUAGAACAAGUGCCCUGUUGGGUAAUCAGUUCCGCAGGCAGCUGCAGGCACACGUUGGAAGGGUCACACGGGUGUCUGCUUUGGAAGACCGGAGGGUUGGGCCAUUUGAAUGCGACUGAGCUUGAUGUGUCCCUGAAGGCUGCAGCUGGACCACCUCGACCCCAAAACAGAGCAGGGCGUGCCGCAGAAGAAAGCGCAUCAUGUCUAAGCAAAGAAUAAACACAUUUAAUGCUG